rnacentral:rRNA from 1 species
CAGCCGCCGCGGGAAUACGGAGGGUGCAAGCGUUAAUCGGAAUUACUGGGCGUAAAGCGCACGCAGGCGGUCUGACAAGUCAGAUGUGAAAUCCCCGGGCUUAACCUGGGAACUGCAUUUGAAACUGUCAGGCUGGAGUCUUGUAGAGGGGGGUGGAAUUCCAGGUGUAGCGGUGAAAUGCGUAGAGAUCUGGAGGAAUACCGGUGGCGAAGGCGGCCCCCUGGACAAAGACUGACGCUCAGGUGCGAAAGCGUGGGGAGCAAACAGGAUUAGAUACCCCGGUAGUCCCUGUCUCUUAUAU